rnacentral:rRNA from 1 species
AAUAAGCGGAGGAAAAGAAACUAACAAGGAUUCCCCUAGUAACGGCGAGUGAAGCGGGAAGAGCUCAAAUUUGAAAUCUGGUAGCCUUCGGCUGCCCGAGUUGUAAUCUAGAGAAGUGUUUUCCGUGCCGGCCCAUGUACAAGUCCCUUGGAACAGGGCGUCAUAGAGGGUGAGAAUCCCGUCCUUGACAUGGACCCCCGGUGCUUUGUGAUACACUUUCAACGAGUCGAGUUGUUUGGGAAUGCAGCUCAAAAUGGGUGGUGAAUUCCAUCUAAAGCUAAAUAUUGGCGAGAGACCGAUAGCGAACAAGUACCGUGAGGGAAAGAUGAAAAGCACUUUGGAAAGAGAGUUAAACAGUACGUGAAAUUGUUGAAAGGGAAACGAUUGAAGUCAGUCAUGCUCUUUGGAUUCAGCCGUUCUGCGGUGUAUUUCCAUUGAGUGGGGUCAACAUCAGUUUUGACCGCUGGAUAAAGGCACUAGGAAGGUAGCACUCUCGGGUGAACUUAUAGCCUAGCGUCAUAUACAGUGGUUGGGACUGAGGAACGCAGCAUGCCUUUAUGGCCGGGAUUCGUCCACGUACAUGCUUAGGAUGUUGACAUAAUGGCUUUAAACGACCCGUCUUGAAA